rnacentral:rRNA from 1 species
UACGGAGGGUGCGAGCGUUGUCCGGAUUUAUUGGGUUUAAAGGGUGCGUAGGCGGCCGGGUAAGUCCGGGGUGAAAGCCCGCUGCUCAACAGCGGAACUGCCCCGGAUACUGCCGGGCUUGAGGACAGGCGAGGUUGGCGGAAUGGAGGGUGUAGCGGUGAAAUGCAUAGAUACCCUCCAGAACCCCGAUUGCGAAGGCAGCUGACUAGGCUGUACCUGACGCUGAGGCACGAAAGCUAGGGGAGCGAAUGGG